rnacentral:rRNA from 1 species
GUUUGAUUCUGGCUCAGAUUGAACGCUGGCGGGAUGCUUUACACAUGCAAGUCGAACGGCAGCACGGACUUCGGUCUGGUGGCGAGUGGCAGACGGAGUGAGUAAUGUAUCGGAACGUGCCUAGUAGCGGGGGAUAACUACGCCGAAAGCGCAUGCUAAUACCGCAUACAUGUCGAAGGAAAGCAGAGGACCUUCGGGCUCAUAAUAGAGCGGCCAAUAUCGGAUUAGCUAGUUGGUGGGGUAACGGCUCACCGGGCGACGAUCCGUAGCUGGUUUGAGAGGACGACCAGCCGCUGCUACCUGGGACUGAGACACGGCCCAGACUCCUGCAGGGAGGCAGCGGUGGGAAUUUUGGACAAUGAAAACCUGAUCCAGCCAUCGCGUGUGCGAUGAAGGCCUUCGGUUGUAAAGCACUUUGGCGGGAAAGAAACGGCGCAGGAUAAUACCCCAGCUGACGGUACCUGCAGAAUAAGCACCGGCUAACUGCGUGCCAGCGACCGCGGUAAUGCGUAGGGUGCAAGCGUUAAUCGGAAUUACUGGGCGUAAAGCGUGCGCAGGCGGUUCGGAAAGAAAGAUGUGAAAUCCCAGAGCUUAACUUUGGAACUGCAUUUUAACUACCGAGCUAGAAGUGUGUCAGAGGGAGGUGGAAUUCCGCGAUAUUGGCAGUGAAAUGCGUAGAUAUGCGGAGGAACACCGAUGGCGAAGGCAGCCUCCUGGGAUAACACUGACGCUCAUGCACGAAAGCGUGGGGAAUAUUAGGAUUAGAUGCCCUGGUAGUCCACGCCCUAAACGAUGUCAGCAAGCUGUUGGGGCCUUCGGGCCUUGGUAGCGCAGCUAACGCGUGAAGUUGACCGCCUAGAAUACGGUCGCAAGGACCAAACUCAAAGGAAUUGACGGGGACCCGCACAAGCAGUGGAUGAUGUGGAUUAAUUCGAUGCAACGCGAAAAAGACAUACUACAACCGACGUGUCUGGAAUCCGAAGAGAUUUGGGAGUGCUCCGCAAAGAGAACAGACACAGGUGCUGCAUGGCUGUCGUCAGCUCGUGUCGUGAGAUGUUGGGUUAAGUCCGCAACGAAGCUGGCCUUGUCAUUGGUUGCUACGAGGGCACUCUAUUAGGAACUGCGGUGACAAAUGGGAGGAAGGUGGGGAUGACGUCAAGUCCUCAUAGCCCUUAUGGUAGAACUACACGUCAUACAAUGGUCGGGACAGAGGAUCGCCAACCCUUGAGAGCCAGCCCCAGAAACCCGAUCGUAGUCCGGAUCGUGCGCGAUGACUGCGGCAAGUCGGAAUCGCUAGUAAUCGCGGAUCAGCAUGUCGCGGUGAAUACGUUCCCGGGUCGCCUUUUGCCCGUCACACCAUGGGAGUGGGUUUUACCGGAAGUAGUUAGCCCUAACAUAGUAAGGAGGGCGAUUACCACGGUAGGAUUCAUGACUAGGGUGAAGUCGUAACAGGUAG